UACGAAGGGGGCUAGCGUUGCUCGGAAUCACUGGGCGUAAAGCGCACGUAGGCGGCUUUCUAAGUCAGGGGGUGAAAUCCUGGAGCUCAACUCCAGAACUGCCUUUGAUACUGGAGUGCUUGAGUCCGGGAGAGGUGAGUGGAACUCCGAGUGUAGAGGUGAAAUUCGUAGAUAUUCGGAAGAACACCAGUGGCGAAGGCGGCUCACUGGCCCGGUACUGACGCUGAUGUGCGAAAGCGUGGGGAGCAAACAG
rnacentral:rRNA from 1 species